rnacentral:snRNA from 1 species
GCUCACCUUGGCGGGGCAAAUUCUAAAGUUGGGACAACACAGAGAAUAUUAGCAUGGCCCCUGGGAAGGAUGAUAUGCAAAUUCAUGAAGUAUUCAAUAUUUUU